rnacentral:rRNA from 1 species
UACGGGGGGGGUAAGCGUUGUUCGGAAUUACUGGGCGUAAAGGGCUCGUAGGCGGCCAACUAAGUCAGACGUGAAAUCCCUCAGCUUAACUGGGGAACUGCGUCUGAUACUGGAUGGCUUGGAUUCGGGAGAGGGAAGCGGAAUUCCGGGUGUAGCGGUGAAAUGCGUAGAUAUCCGGAGGAACACCGGUGGCGAAGGCGGCUUCCUGGACCGAUACUGACGCUGAGGCGCGAAAGCUAGGGGAGCAAACGGG